rnacentral:rRNA from 1 species
GACGAACGCUGGCGGCGUGCUUAACACAUGCAAGUCGAACGCUGAAGCUCAGCUUUUGUUGGGUGGAUGAGUGGCGAACAGGUGAGUAACACGUGAGUAACCUGCCUCCUUCUUUGGGAUAACGCCCGGAAACGGGUGCUAAUACUGGAUAUUCACUGGUCUUCGCAUGGGGGUUGGUGGGAAGGGUUUUUCUGGUGGGGGAUGGGCUCGCGGCCUAUCAGCUUGUUGGUGGGGUGAUGGCCUACCAAGGCUUUGACGGGUAGCCGGCCUGAGAGGGUGACCGGUCACAUUGGGACUGAGAUACGGCCCAGACUCCUACGGGAGGCAGCAGUGGGGAAUAUUGCACAAUGGGCGCAAGCCUGAUGCAGCGACGCCGCGUGAGGGAUGGAGGCCUUCGGGUUGUGAACCUCUUUCGCUCAUGGUCAAGCCGCAACAAUGGUUGUGGUGAGGGUAGUGGGUAAAGAAGCGCCGGCUAACUACGUG